rnacentral:rRNA from 1 species
GGAUUCGCUGUAAUCGCGCAUCAGCCAUGGCGCGGUGAAUACGUUCCCGGGCCUUGUACACACCGCCCGUCAAGCCAUGGGAGCCGGGAGUGCCUGAAGGCCGUGACCGCAAGGAGCGGCCUAAGGUAAAACUGGUGACUGGGGCUAAGUCGUAACAAGGUAGC